GUAUAUAGGUAGUGUAUAGUGUAUAGGGUUAUGAGUUAUAGUAUAUAGGUAGUGUAUAGUGUAUAGGGUUAUGAGUUAUAGUAUAUAGGUAGUGUAUAGUGUAUAGGGUUAUGAGUUAUAGUAUAUAGGUAGUGUAUAGGGUUAUGAGUUAUAGUAUAUAGGUAGUGUAUAGGGUUAUGAGUUAUAGUAUAUAGGUAGUGUAUAGGGUUAUGAGUUAUAGUAUAUAGGUAGUGUAUAGGGUUAUGAGUUAUAGUAUAUAGGUAGUGUAUAGGGUUAUGAGUUAUAGUAUAUAGGUAGUGUAUAGGGUUAUGAGUUAUAGUAUAUAGGUAGUGUAUAGGGUUAUGAGUUAUAGUAUAUAGGUAGUGUAUAGGGUUAUGAGUUAUAGUAUAUAGGUAGUGUAUAG